GUGAGGGGCCGGGGAACGCUGCGGGGGAUGCCGAGUCAGCCCCGGAACGAGCUGGAAAGAGGCAGAGCCGUGGCAGGUUUCUGGAACACCGGCGAGAUGGCCUGAGUCCCCACAUCCAUGUUGUGCAGCAUUAACUCACCGGACAGACGAACAAGGCGUCGGUCAUUCUCAGGUGUUAUUUUGAAAACAACCAGGACCCCCCAGAUCCGUAUUCACCGUAUCCUGCUUGUGAGUGUAUACACUUGGAUACUUAGAAAUGUACCCUGAUGAUUUGGGGAAGAAUUUGGAAGAAUCGGUGCACAGAGAUCUACUCAACAGUAUUACUGAGGAGCUAAUCAGCGAGAGGCACCAGGCUUGACCCUGGGCCAAGGGUGGGAUACAGGGCUCUUCCCAAUGGAUUUUCCACUUGACAGAAGAGACGGACUUUAAGCCCACAGGCACCUGCGCGCACACAUCAUCCCAGGAUUGAUAAAUACACAUGAACUCUUAAAUAUGGGAGUCAUAUUAGGGGAAGAAGCCCAAGGAACAGACGGAGGGCGCUGGGCGCCAUGUUUCCUUGAAUUAUUUCGGGGAUGGAGUCUUCCCUGGGAGUUUGG